GACGAUGAUUAGGGGCCCUGAGAGGGGGAUCCCCCACACUGGUACUGAGACACGGACCAGACUCCUACGGGAGGCAGCAGGGAGGAAUAUUGGACAAUGGUCGGAAGACUGAUCCAGCCAUGCCCGCGUGCAGGAAGACGGCCCUACGGGUUGUAAACCUGCUUUUCUACAGGGAAGAAAAGGUUCCCUUGCGAGGGAGAUUGACGGUACUGUAGGAAUAAGGACCGGCUAACUCCGUUGCCAGCAGCCGCGGUAAUACGGAGGGUCCGAGCGUUAUCCGGAAUCAUUGGGUUUACAGGGUCCGAAGGUGGGGUCCUAAGUCAGAGGUGACAGGUUGCCGCUCAACCUGUAAGAAUUGCCUAUUGAUACUAGGAGCUCUUGAAGUUAUGUAUGCUGUGGCCCGGAACAUGUGGUUUACCGGUGCAAAUGCAUAGAUAUCACAUAGUACACCGAUUGCGAAGGCAGGUCACAAAGCAUUACACUGACACUGAGGGACGAAAGCGUGGGGAGCGAACGGGAUUAGAUACCCCGGUAGUCCACGCCGUAAACGAUGGAUACUAGCUGUUGGGUUUUCGGACUCGGCGGCCAAGCGAAAGUGAUAAGUAUCCCACCUGGGGAGUACGUUCGCAAGUAUGAAACUCAAAGGAAUUGACGGGGGCCCGCACAAGCGGUGGAGCAUGUGGUUUAAUUCGAUGAUACGCGAGGAACCUUACCAGGGCUUAAAUGGGAGAUGACCGGGUCAGAGACGACCCUUUCUUCGGACAUCUUUCAAGGUGCUGCAUGGUUGUCGUCAGCUCGUGCCGUGAGGUGUCAGGUUAAAUCCUAUGACGAGCGCAACCCCUGCCGUUAGUUGCCAGCGAGUCAAGUCGGGGACUCUAACGGGACUGCCGGUGCAAACCGAGAGGAAGGUGGGGACGACGUCAUAUCAUCACGGCCCUUACGUCCUGGGCUACACACGUGCUACAAUGGUCGGUACAAUGGGAAGCCACCCCGUGAGGGGGCGCGGAUCUUAAAAGCCGAUCACAGUUCGGAUCGGGGUCUGCAACUCGACCCCGUGAAGCUGGAAUCGCUAGUAAUCGGAUAUCAGCCAUGAUCCGGUGAAUACGUUCCCGGGCCUUGUACACACCGCCCGUC
rnacentral:rRNA from 1 species